GUGGGGGAUAUUGCACAAUGGAGGAAACUCUGAUGCAGCGACGCCGCGUGAGUGAAGAAGUAUUUCGGUAUGUAAAGCUCUAUCAGCAGGGAAGAAAGGCUCGAAAGAGAGAUGACGGUACCUGACUAAGAAGCCCCGGCUAACUACGUGCCAGCAGCCGCGGUAAUACGUAGGGGGCAAGCGUUAUCCGGAUUUACUGGGUGUAAAGGGAGCGCAGACGGUCAAGCAAGUCUGAAGUGAAACCCCACGGCUCAACCGUGGGCUUGCUUUGGAAACUGUUUGACUAGAGUACUGGAGAGGUAAGCGGAAUUCCUAGUGUAGCGGUGAAAUGCGUAGAUAUUAGGAGGAACAUCGGUGGCGAAGGCGGCUUACUGGACAGCAACUGACGUUGAGGCUCGAAGGCGUGGGGAGCAAACAGG
rnacentral:rRNA from 1 species